UAGGGAAUCUUCCGCAAUGGACGCAAGUCUGACGGAGCAACGCCGCGUGAGUGAAGAAGGAUUUCGGUUCGUAAAACUCUGUUGUUAGAGAAGAACAGCGCAUAGAGUAACUGUUAUGCGUGUGACGGUAUCUAACCAGAAAGCCACGGCUAACUACGUGCCAGCAGCCGCGGUAAUACGUAGGGGGCUAGCGUUGUCCGGAAUCACUGGGCGUAAAGGGUUCGCAGGCGGAAAUGCAAGUCAGGUGUAAAAGGCAGUAGCUUAACUACUGUAAGCAUUUGAAACUGCAUAUCUUGAGAAGAGUAGAGGUAAGUUGAAUUUUUAGUGUAGCGGUGAAAUGCGUAGAUAUUAAAAAGAAUACCGGUGGCGAAGGCGACUUACUGGGCUCAUUCUGACGCUGAGGAACGAAAGCGUGGGUAGCAAACAGG
rnacentral:rRNA from 1 species